CAGAAAAAGGGAGUGGGAAAUGAAAGGGUAAAGUCUCUAAGCUACAAAGCCUGAGUUAAAAUGUAAAGGACCAGGCAUUGUUAAGUUUCUAAGCUACACUAAAAGCCUGAAAUUCCUGUAGCUGUUAGGACAAUUCCCGGGACUGCCCAUUAGAUAAUCCCCCCUGACCACUUAGUUGUUUAACAGCUAAGACCCAGUGCAGUUCAGCACGUAGGCACCUCAGGGCCUAAACCAAUCAGUUUGAAUGUAUCCCCCUCCUUAGGACUGACCUAUCACUCCAGCCUGACCUGUUCCCGCCAAUGAAUGUACUAAUCAUGUUUGAGAAUUGUUGUUUGAUUUUCCCGCACCUCAUGAUGAUUUGCUUGGAUGUAUGCAAAGCCCCCGCCCUCCCCAAAGAGUGUACUUAAGCACUGCUCAACCCCUGCUCGGGGCUCUGGGCCGCUCUCCCUUCUUGAGUGAGCACAGAGCCCCAGUGCGCUGGAUCCUCAAUAAACC
rnacentral:lncRNA from 1 species